rnacentral:sRNA from 1 species
GCUGGGCACGGUGGUGCACGCCUGUAAUCCCAGUGGCUCUGGAGGCUGAGGCAGGAGGAUCAUGAGUUCAAAGCCAGCCUCAGCAAAAGCGAGGAGCUAAUCAACUCAGUGAGACUCUGCCUCUA